GCAUCGUGCAAGCUACGCUCUGCUUCUUCAAUAAACUGAUCAGCUCCGCCUCGAAGGACUAUGGUGGCUGUUCUACCUGAUGGACAGCCACUGAAUAUAUUAUAUCUUUCAUUACCAACUUGCUUUUCCUCAAAAACCUCACAUGUCCCAAGAACAUCAUCGAUAACAUUGUUAACAGAUGUCUGUACAGUUCCACCAGUUGCAGCAGCAACCCUUUGAAGAUCUUCCUCAGCCACACGGCCGGCACAGAAAAUAUCUCGGUCUGCAAAAUACUGU
rnacentral:misc_RNA from 1 species